UACAGAGGUCUCAAGCGUUGUUCGGAUUCAUUGGGCGUAAAGGGUGCGUAGGCGGCGCGGUAAGUCGGGUGUGAAAUCUCGGAGCUUAACUCCGAAACUGCAUUCGAUACUGCCGUGCUUGAGGACUGGAGAGGAGACUGGAAUUUACGGUGUAGCGGUGAAAUGCGUAGAUAUCGUAAGGAAGACCAGUGGCGAAGGCGGGUCCCUGGACAGUUCCUGACGCUGAGGCACGAAGGCCAGGGGAGCAAACGGG
rnacentral:rRNA from 1 species